rnacentral:rRNA from 1 species
GUGGGGAAUAUUGGGCAAUGGGGGAAACCCUGACCCAGCGACGCCGCGUGAGGGAAGAAGGCCUUAGGGUCGUAAACCUCUGUUGUGUGGGAAGAAGAGCGUGACGGUACCACACGAGGAAGUCCCGGCUAACUACGUGCCAGCAGCCGCGGUAAUACGUAGGGGACGAGCGUUGUCCGGAUUUACUGGGCGUAAAGGGCGCGUAGGCGGUCAUUUAAGUCAGCUGUGAAAUGGUUUGGCUUAACCGGAUCAUGCGGUUGAAACUGGAUGACUGGAGUGCUGGGGAGGCAAGUGGAAUUCCCAGUGUAGCGGUGAAAUGCGUAGAUAUUGGGAAGAACACCGGUGGCGAAGGCGACUUGCUGGCCAGCAACUGACGCUGAGGCGCGAAAGCCAGGGGAGCAAACGGGAUUAGAAACCCCGGUAGUCC